rnacentral:rRNA from 1 species
GAUGAACGCUGGCGGCGUGCCUAAUACAUGCAAGUCGAGCGAACAGAUGAGGAGCUUGCUCCUCUGACGUUAGCGGCGGACGGGUGAGUAACACGUGGAUAACCUACCUAUAAGACUGGGAUAACUUCGGGAAACCGGAGCUAAUACCGGAUAAUAUAUUGAACCGCAUGGUUCAAUAGUGAAAGACGGUUUUGCUGUCACUUAUAGAUGGAUCCGCGCCGCAUUAGCUAGUUGGUAAGGUAACGGCUUACCAAGGCAACGAUGCGUAGCCGACCUGAGAGGGUGAUCGGCCACACUGGAACUGAGACACGGUCCAGACUCCUACGGGAGGCAGCAGUAGGGAGUCUUCCGCAAUGGGCGAAAGCCUGACGGAGCAACGCCGCGUGAGUGAUGAAGUUCUUCGGAUCGUAAAACUCUGUUAUUAGGGAAGAACAAAUGUGUAAGUAACUAUGCACGUCUUGACGGUACCUAAUCAGAAAGCCACGGCUAACUACGUG